UACGGGGGGGGCAAGCGUUGUUCGGAAUUACUGGGCGUAAAGGGCUCGUAGGCGGCCAACUAAGUCAGACGUGAAAUCCCCAGGCUCAACCUGGGAACUGCGUCUGAUACUGAUUGGCUUGAAUCCGGGAGAGGGAUGCAGAAUUCCAGGUGUAGCGGUGAAAUGCGUAGAUAUCUGGAGGAAUACCGGUGGCGAAGGCGGCAUCCUGGACCGGCAUUGACGCUGAGGAGCGAAAGCGUGGGGAGCGAACCGG
rnacentral:rRNA from 1 species